rnacentral:rRNA from 1 species
GCCUAACACAUGCAAGUCGAACGGUAACAGGAAGCAGCUUGCUGCUUCGCUGACGAGUGGCGGACGGGUGAGUAAUGUCUGGGAAACUGCCUGAUGGAGGGGGAUAACUACUGGAAACGGUGGCUAAUACCGCAUAACGUCGCAAGACCAAAGAGGGGGACCUUCGGGCCUCUUGCCAUCAGAUGUGCCCAGAUGGGAUUAGCUWGUUGGUGAGGUAACGGCUCACCAAGGCGACGAUCCCUAGCUGGUCUGAGAGGAUGACCAGCCACACUGGAACUGAGACACGGUCCAGACUCCUACGGGAGGCAGCAGUGGGGAAUAUUGCACAAUGGGCGCAAGCCUGAUGCAGCCAUGCCGCGUGUAUGAAGAAGGCCUUCGGGUUGUAAAGUACUUUCAGCGGGGAGGAAGGUGUUGUGGUUAAUAACCRCAGCAAUUGACGUUACCCGCAGAAGAAGCACCGGCUAACUCCGUGCC